ensembl:piRNA 21ur-2289 ncRNA
UCUUGCUAGUCCUCUGUCGAG